UACGAAGGGGGCGAGCGUUGUUCGGAAUUACUGGGCGUAAAGCGCAUGCAGGCGGAUCGCUAAGUCAGGGGUGAAAGCCCGAGGCUCAACCUCGGAACUGCCUUUGAUACUGGCGAUCUUGAGUCCGGGAGAGGUGAGUGGAACUCCGAGUGUAGAGGUGAAAUUCGUAGAUAUUCGGAAGAACACCAGUGGCGAAGGCGGCUCACUGGCCCGGUACUGACGCUGAGAUGCGAAAGCGUGGGGAGCAAACAGG
rnacentral:rRNA from 1 species